rnacentral:rRNA from 1 species
CCUACGGGAGGCAGCAGUGGGGAAUCUUGCGCAAUGCGCGAAAGCGUGACGCAGCAACGCCGCGUGGAGGAAGACGGCCUUCGGGUUGUAAACUCCUUUCAGUUGGGACGAAGCUUCACUGGUUAAGAGCUGGUUGGAGUGACGGUACCUUUAGAAGAAGCCCCGGCUAACUACGUGCCAGCAGCCGCGGUAAUACGUAGGGGGCAAGCGUUGUCCGGAAUCAUUGGGCGUAAAGCGCGUGUAGGCGGCCCAGUAAGUCCGCUCUGAAAGCCCGGGGCUCAACCCCGGGAGGCGGGUGGAUACUGCUGGGCUCGAGUACGGAAGAGGCGAGUGGAAUUCCCGGUGUAGCGGUGAAAUGCGCAGAUAUCGGGAGGAACACCAAUGGCGAAGGCAGCUCGCUGGGACGUUACUGACGCUGAGACGCGAAAGCGUGGGGAGCA